UGAGGAAUAUUGGUCAAUGGGCGCAAGCCUGAACCAGCCAUGUCGCGUGCAGGAUGACGGCCCUACGGGUUGUAAACUGCUUUUGUACGGGAAGAAAAAGAGCUACGUGUAGCUAAUUGCCGGUACCGUACGAAUAAGGAUCGGCUAACUCCGUGCCAGCAGCCGCGGUAAUACGGAGGAUCCGAGCGUUAUCCGGAUUUAUUGGGUUUAAAGGGUGCGUAGGCGGGUUAUUAAGUCAGUGGUGAAAGUUUGACGCUCAACGUUAAAAUUGCCAUUGAUACUGAUAAUCUUGAGUACAGUUGAGGUAGGCGGAAUGUGAUGUGUAGCGGUGAAAUGCAUAGAUAUAUCACAGAACACCGAUUGCGAAGGCAGCUUACUAAAGUGUCACUGACGCUGAGGC
rnacentral:rRNA from 1 species